CCUACGGGAGGCAGCAGUGGGGAAUAUUGGACAAUGGGGGGAACCCUGAUCCAGCGACGCCGCGUGAGUUAAGAAGUAUUUCGGUAUGUAAAGCUCUAUCAGCAGGGAAGAAAGAAAUGACGGUACCUGACUAAGAAGCCCCGGCUAAAUACGUGCCAGCAGCCGCGUUAAUACGUAGGGGGCAAGCGUUAGCCGGAUUUACUGGGUGUAAAGGCAGCGUAGACGGCGAUGCAAGUCUGAAGUGAAAGGCGGGGGCCCAACCCCUGGACUGCUUUGGAACCUGUAUGGCUGGAGUGCAGGAGAGGUAAGUGGAAUGCCUGGGGUAGCGGUGAAAUGCGUAGAUAUUAGGAGGAACACCAGUGGCGAAGGCGGCUUACUGGACUGUAACUGACGUUGAGGCUCGAAAGCGUGGGGAGCAAACAGGAUUAGAUACCCUAGUAGUC
rnacentral:rRNA from 1 species